rnacentral:rRNA from 1 species
AGUGAACGCUGGCGGUAGGCCUAACACAUGCGAGUCGAACGACAGCACAGUAAGAGCUUGCUCUUACGGGUGGCGAGUGGCGGACGGGUGAGGAAUACAUCGGAAUCUACUUUUUCGUGGGGGAUAACGUAGGGAAACUUACGCUAAUACCGCAUACGACCUACGGGUGAAAGCAGGGGAUCUUCGGACCUUUCGCGAUUGAAUGAGCCGAUGUCGGAUUAGCUAGUUGGCGGGGUAAAGGCCCACCAAGGCGACGAUCCGUAGCUGGUCUGAGAGGAUGAUCAGCCACACUGGAACUGAGACACGGUCCAGACUCCUACGGGAGGCAGCAGUGGGGAAUAUUGGGCAAUGGGCGCAAGCCUGAUCCAGCCAUACCGCGUGGGUGAAGAAGGCCUUCGGGUUGUAAAGCCCUUUUGUUGGGAAAGAAAAGCAGCAGGUUAAUACCCCGCUGUUCUGACGGUACCCAAAGAAUAAGCACCGGCUAACUUCGUG